UACGGGGGGGGUAAGCGUUGUUCGGAAUUACUGGGCGUAAAGAGCGUGUAGGCGGCCAGACAGGUCAGCUGUGAAAACUCGAGGCUCAACCUCGAGACGUCGGUUGAAACCGUCUGGCUAGAGUCCGGAAGAGGAGAGUGGAAUUCCCGGUGUAGCGGUGAAAUGCGUAGAUAUCGGAGAGGGAACACCUGCGGCGAAGGCGGGUUGCUGGGCUGACACUGACGCUGGAUGCGGCGAAAAGCUAGGGGGAGCGAACGGG
rnacentral:rRNA from 1 species